GCAAGUCGAGCGGAAACGAUCCUAGCUUGCUAGGAGGCGUCGAGCGGCGGACGGGUGAGUAACGCGUGAGAAUCUAGCCAUGAGUGGGGGACAACCCGGGGAAACUCGGGCUAAUACCGCAUACGCCCUACGGGGUAAAGCAGGGGACCUUCGGGCCUUGCGCUGAUGGAUGAGCUCGCGUCGGAUUAGCUUGUUGGUGAGGUAAAGGCUCACCAAGGCGACGAUCCGUAGCUGGUCUGAGAGGAUGAUCAGCCACACCGGGACUGAGACACGGCCCGGACUCCUACGGGAGGCAGCAGUGGGGAAUCUUGGACGAUGGGGGCAACCCUGAUCCAGCCAUGCCGCGUGUGUGAAGAAGGCCUUCGGGUUGUAAAGCACUUUCAGCAGGGAGGAAGGCUUACCCCUAAUACGGGUGAGUACUUGACGUUACCUGCAGAAGAAGCACCGGCUAAUUUCGUGCCAGCAGCCGCGGUAAUACGAAAGGUGCAAGCGUUAAUCGGAAUUACUGGGCGUAAAGCGCGCGUAGGCGGUGUGUUAAGUCGGAUGUGAAAGCCCAGGGCUCAACCUUGGAAUUGCAUCCGAUACUGGCACGCUAGAGUGCAGUAGAGGGAGGUGGAAUUUCCGGUGUAGCGGUGAAAUGCGUAGAGAUCGGAAGGAACACCAGUGGCGAAGGCGGCCUCCUGGACUGACACUGACGCUGAGGUGCGAAAGCGUGGGGAGCAGACAGGAUUAGAUACCCUGGUAGUCCACGCUGUAAACGAUGUCUACUAGCCGUCGGGGUCCUUAGUGACUUUGGUGG
rnacentral:rRNA from 1 species